AUGAAAUAUGCUAUUCUUCUCAACAACUGGUGCAUAACCCUGAAGCACAAAGAUGUAAACGGUCUCCACAAAAGUCACACACAGAAGACUUCCCAGAUGGAAUAUUCAGAGGAUCGAGUCAAGCCAAGGAUCCUCCAGCUUUGCUUGGGAAGAACUGACAAGAAAGAGUCCAACAAUUUUUCGGCUUUUCAAGAAAACCAAGAGUGA